UAUAUUCAAAUUCCAAAGAACCGAUAUGGGACAAUUCAUUACAUGUGAGGAGGGGGGAGGGGGAGAAAUAAUAGAGAGGAGGGAGGGGGGAAGAAAACGUCUUGGAGAAAACCAAUGGAAGAACACGACGGCGACGGCGGCGUCAUAAAUACAUAUUUUCUUCACAGGGACCCGGACGAGCAGGAAAGACCCAAAAUACACAGAGAGGAGAGAGAAAGAAUGGCAAAUCGAGGGACACGGGGAUACUUGUACAGGCCUUGGGGCGAUCAUGCCGCUCCCUCGGUCGGCUUCGCCGGCUCUGGGGCCGCCGGCGGAGCGGCGGCGGUCUUCUCCUCGACGACCGGAGGAGCCUCAGGAGGCGCAGGGGUCUCGGUUUCUACCUUCUUCUCCUCUUCCGUAGACACCACCACCUCCUUAUCCUUGCUG
rnacentral:lncRNA from 1 species